UACAGAGGUCUCAAGCGUUGUUCGGAUUCAUUGGGCGUAAAGGGCGCGUAGGCGGUCAGCACAAGUCAGUUGUGAAAUCUCCGAGCUUAACUCGGAAAGGUCAACUGAUACUGUGCGACUAGAGUGCGGAAGGGGCAACUGGAAUUCUUGGUGUAGCGGUGAAAUGCGUAGAGAUCAGGAAGAACACCAGUGGCGAAGGCGCUCUGCUAGGCCGUAACUGACACUGAGGGACGAAAGCUAGGGGAGCGAAUGGG
rnacentral:rRNA from 1 species